AACUCUGAUGAUGAUUAAUAACACUUUCGCCUUUGCUGAGAUUAUAGUAUGCGGAGAAACCAUUGGAGACCUGAGCUGAGGAGUU